rnacentral:rRNA from 1 species
UACGGAGGGUGCAAGCGUUAUCCGGAUUCACUGGGUUUAAAGGGUGCGUAGGCGGAUUAGUAAGUCCGUGGUGAAAUCUCCGAGCUUAACUCGGAAACUGCCGUGGAUACUAUUAAUCUUGAAUCAGCGAGAGGUUCGUGGAAUUCCGAGUGUAGCAGUGAAAUGUGUAGAUAUUCGGAAGAACACCAGUGGCGAAGGCAGCGAACUGGCGCUCGAUUGACGCUCAGGCACGAAAGCAUGGGGAUCAAACAGG